rnacentral:lncRNA from 1 species
CCAUACACUAUAAAUUGAUCAAACCAUUUUCUAUUUGUUACUUAAGAAAAACUAUAGAAAAAUAAAUAUGGCUAAAACUUUCAAGUUUGUUCCCACUUUAAUUUUGUUUUUUUUCCUAUUUCUUACUAGUGCAAAGGGGGUUGACAUUGAAACAAUUAACUGUAAAACUGACAAUGAUUGCCCAAAUAAAUUUUGGAAUAGAAAGUAUUAUAGGUGCGUUAACGGCAAUUGUGAAGUCACUCCUUUCCCAGAAUAUAUACUGCCAGAAGGAGUGACUAUCAUACGACCGCUAGAGNNN